rnacentral:rRNA from 1 species
GUUAUUUCUGUAUUCUAAUACCUAAAACCCACACCAACCCUUCACCAGUACUGAAUGACUCCAUAUAACUUAUGGAAGACAUUAUGCUAGAACUAGUAACAAGAAAUAAAACUUCUCCCCAAUGUAUGUGUAAGCCGGAAACGGACAAACCGCCGGCAAUUAACGUAAAUGAACAUCCUAUAGCAACUGAUACUAGAAAAUUCUAUAAGUAUUAACGUUAGUCUUACACUAGGACAUUACCGGAAAGAUUAAAAGGGAAAGAAGGAACUCGGCAAAUUUUAACCCCGCCUGUUUACCAAAAACAUCGCCUCUUGAUUAACCAUAAGAGGUCCAGCCUGCCCGGUGACAAAGUUUAACGGCCGCGGUACCCUAACCGUGCGAAGGUAGCAUAAUCACUUGUUCUUUAAAUAGGGACUAGUAUCAACGGCAUCACGAGGGUUACACUGUCUCCUUUCCUCAAUCAGUGAAACUGAUCUCCCCGUGAAGAAGCGGGGAUAUAACUAUAAGACGAGAAGACCCCAUGGAGCUUUAAGCUCAACAGCACCUCUAUACAAAUAUACCCCCACAACCCACGAGCCCUGUCUGUUAGCUUUAGGUUGGGGUGACCGCGGAGUAUAAUACAACCUCCACGACGAAUAGGCCUAAAACCUUUAUCCAAGAGCCACUGCUCUAAGAAUCAUAAAAUUGACGUAAAAUGAUCCGAUUUUCGAUCAACGAACCAAGUUACCCUGGGGAUAACAGCGCAAUCCAUUUCAAGAGCCCCUAUCGACAAAUGGGUUUACGACCUCGAUGUUGGAUCAGGGUAUCCUAGUGGUGCAGCCGCUACUAAAGGUUCGUUUGUUCAACGA